rnacentral:rRNA from 1 species
GGAAUAUUGGUCAAUGGGCGAGAGUCUGAACCAGCCAAGUAGCGUGCAGGAUGACGGCCCUAUGGGUUGUAAACUGCUUUUUUAGGGGAAUAAAGUUAGCCACGUGUGGUUAUUUGCAUGUACCCUACGAAUAAGGACCGGCUAAUUCCGUGCCAGCAGCCGCGGUAAUACGGAAGGUCCGGGCGUUAUCCGGAUUUAUUGGGUUUAAAGGGAGCGCAGGCCGACUGGUAAGCGUGACGUGAAAUGUAGCCGCUCAACGGCUGAACUGCGUCGCGAACUGUCAGUCUUGAGUGAGUUCGAUGUUGGCGGAAUUCGUGGUGUAGCGGUGAAAUGCUUAGAUAUCACGAAGAACUCCGAUUGCGAAGGCAGCCAACAAGGCCUUUACUGACGCUAAAGCUCGAAGGUGCGGGUAUCGAACA